AAUUUCAGAUAAUCUAUGAGAAAUAGUGAAUACAAACAUAUUCUCUCUGCUUCGACCUAGGUAUAGCGCCUAAGGAAACUUGGAGAAAGAAUGAACAAGUAAGACGGCUUUCAAGCAGCGACAAAAUAACCCACAUUGUUUUUUGACACCAAUCGAACAAUUAGGUAAGAGAUUCUAGAUUA